rnacentral:tRNA from 1 species
GCCUUUGUAGCUCAGAGGUAGAGCGUGGGACUGAAAAUCCCUGCGUCGGUGGUUCGAUUCCGCCCAAAGGCACCA